CACAACAGUUCGUAAUAAUUUUUUUUCCAAUAAUUUUUAUCAAAAAAUUAUCACGAGAAAACACACUAAGAAAAACAAAUCGAAAUCACUGCUUAAACAUUAGAUUGGGAAACAAAUUAGAUUUACAUUACCGUUAUGAUUGGGAAACUGAUAUGAUAUGAGUUCCCGUGGUCAAAUGAGUCAUAAUAGAUCUGGAAAACUUCAAAUUAUCAAAACAAUAACUAUAACUAAUAUCAGAUACAAAUAAAGUAAAGAGUAGAGGCAAACAGUGUCCGCUUUGAGGAACACCUAUAAAUUGACGUAUUUGAUAUCAAACGAGAACCCAAUUUUAACAUGUUGCAGGCCACCAAAUAAUAAACCUAAUUGUUCAGGAGAACAUACAAUGGUUAGGUAGACCAGCAGCUCCCAAACAGCAUCAUACGUCCUAAGUACGUAAUUUUGGAUACGUAGUUCGUACGUACAUUAGUUACCUCUCGUGGAUGUACAUAUGUAAAUACCUAGAAAAUGUCUUAACUCCUAUGUUAACACAAAACUAUAUGACAGGAAAGAUUUUUUUUCAAAUAUGCGUAUUGUUAAAUACAUUCUUAGUUCUUCUUUUAUCUUCUUCUCAUACAAGUUUUAUUUUCAAUAUUUUUAAUUUCAGUAAGGUACACAGAAAAAAAAUAAUUUGCAUGUUUCUUUACUUUGAUAAAAAAAAGUCAACGAAUUCGGUAUAAAUUAGACAACUGUCAAAUCGAGAUUCCCUCUUUCCAAAGGACUAACACACCCUAUAAAUUUAGUUAAUCUACAUGUUGAUCUGGUCGAAAAGUAAUUAGGUAUAGGAUUUUCAAAACAUCUAAAAAUUAUAGAUAAUGGAAUAUUUGUCAUAAUAAUAUAUCAAAAUCGGUCGCAAAAGCAACCCAGUGUUUAUGUUACUCCUACAGACUGUCAAAUAAGUAAUUGGCAACAUGAGGGAGUUGACACUGUUGACAGUGUUUAAGAUAAAUGACAGAUGCGAGAACGAACGAAGAAGAAGCUUUUAGUCACAUGAACUUUGUAUGGUGAAAAUCGGAAUCGUAUAUCGGCCAUCUUGCUUGGCAAAAUUGACAGGGAGCUGUUGUUGACAUUGAUUGAUCUAGCCCAAUUAAUGACACAUCAUUGGAAGCUAACUUCAGCACGCACAGGUUAACGUCAACAGUGCAGAGAUCGAUGUG